CCUACGGGUGGCAGCAGUGAGGAAUAUUGGUCAAUGGACGAAAGUCUGAACCAGCCAAGUAGCGUGAAGGAUGACGGCCCUAUGGGUUGUAAACUUCUUUUGUAUGGGGAUAAAACGUUCCACGUGUGGCAUUUUGUAUGUACCAUAUGAAUAAGGAUCGGCUAACUCCGUGCCAGCAGCCGCGGUAAUACGGAGGAUCCGAGCGUUAUCCGGAUUUAUUGGGUUUAAAGGGUGCGUAGGUGGAUUGUUAAGUUAGUGGUGAAAGUUUGCGGCUCAACCGUAGAAGUGCAGUUGAAACUGGAAGUCUAGAGAAUAGAAGCGGUAGGCGGAAUGUGUGGUGUAGCGGUGAAAUGCUUAGAGAUCACGCAGAACGCCGAUUGCGAAGGCAGUUUACCGGACUGUAACUGACACUGAGGCUCGAAAGCGUGGGUAGCAAACAGGAUUAGAUACCCUAGUAGUC
rnacentral:rRNA from 1 species